rnacentral:rRNA from 1 species
GACGAAGGUGGCAAGCGUUGCUCGGAAUCACUGGGCCUAAAGCGCGCGUAGGUGGCUUGAUAAGUCGGUGGUGAAAUCCCAUGGCUCAACCAUGGAACUGCCGUCGAUACUGUCAGGCUUGAGGGCGGUAGGGGAGAGUGGAACUCCUGGUGUAGCGGUGAAAUGCGCAGAUAUCAGGAGGAACACCGGUGGCGAAGGCGGGUCUCUGGGCCGAUACUGACGCUGAGGAGCGAAAGCGUGGGGAGCGAACAGG